GAUGAACGCUAGCGGCAGGCCUAACACAUGCAAGUCGAGGGGUAGAGUGCUUCGGCACUUGAGACCGGCGCACGGGUGCGUAACACGUGUACAAUCUACCUUUUGCUAAGGGAUAGCCCGAAGAAAUUUGGAUUAAUACCUUAUAGUAUUGUUUGGUGGCAUCACUAAAUAAUUAAAGCUCUGGUGGCAAAAGAUGAGUACGCGUCCCAUUAGCUAGUUGGUGUGGUAACGGCAUACCAAGGCUACGAUGGGUAGGGGUCCUGAGAGGGAGGUCCCCCACACUGGUACUGAGACACGGACCAGACUCCUACGGGAGGCAGCAGUGAGGAAUAUUGGACAAUGGUCGGAAGACUGAUCCAGCCAUGCCGCGUGCAGGAUGACGGCCUUAUGGGUUGUAAACUGCUUUUAUACAGGAAGAAUAAGGUCUACGAGUAGAUUGAUGACGGUACUGUAUGAAUAAGCAUCGGCUAACUCCGUGCCAGCAGCCGCGGUAAUACGGAGGAUGCGAGCGUUAUCCGGAAUCAUUGGGUUUAAAGGGUCCGUAGGCGGGCUUAUAAGUCAGAGGUGAAAGCACUGAGCUCAACUGAGUAACUGCCUUUGAAACUGUAGGUCUUGAAUGUUUGUGAAGUAGCUGGAAUGUGUAGUGUAGCGGUGAAAUGCAUAGAUAUUACACAGAACACCGAUUGCGAAGGCAUGUUACUAACAAAUUAUUGACGCUGAUGGACGAAAGCGUGGGGAGCGAACAGGAUUAGAUACCCUGGUAGUCCACGCUGUAAACGAUGGAUACUAGCUGUUUGGAAGUAAUUUUGAGUGGCUAAGCGAAAGUGAUAAGUAUCCCACCUGGGGAGUACGCACGCAAGUGUGAAACUCAAAGGAAUUGACGGGGGCCCGCACAAGCGGUGGAGCAUGUGGUUUAAUUCGAUGAUACGCGAGGAACCUUACCAAGGUUUAAAUGGGAAACGACGUAUCUAGAGAUAGAUAUUUCUUCGGACGUUUUUCAAGGUGCUGCAUGGUUGUCGUCAGCUCGUGCCGUGAGGUGUCAGGUUAAGUCCUAUAACGAGCGCAACCCCUGCGAAUAGUUGCCAUCAUUAAGUUGGGCACUCUAUUUGGACUGCCGGUGCAAACCGUGAGGAAGGUGGGGAUGACGUCAAAUCAUCACGGCCCUUACA
rnacentral:rRNA from 1 species